rnacentral:rRNA from 1 species
GAUGGACGCUGGCGGCGUGCCUAAUACAUGCAAGUCGAGCGAAUGGAUUAAGAGCUUGCUCUUAUGAAGUUAGCGGCGGACGGGUGAGUAACACGUGGGUAACCUGCCCAUAAGACUGGGAUAACUCCGGGAAACCGGGGCUAAUACCGGAUAACAUUUUGAACCGCAUGGUGCGAAAUUGAAAGGCGGCUUCGGCUGUCACUUAUGGAUGGACCCGCGUCGCAUUCGCUAGUUGGUGAGGUAACGGCUUACCAAGGCAACGAUGCGUAGCCGACCGGAGAGGGUGAUCGGCCACACUGGGACUGAGACACGGCCCAGACUCCUACGGGAGGCAGCAGUAGGGAAUCUUCCGCAAUGGACGAAAGUCUGACGGAGCAACGCCGCGUGAGUGAUGAAGGCUUUCGGGUCGUAAAACUCUGUUGUUAGGGAAGAACAAGUGCUAGUUGAAUAAGCUGACACCUUGACGGUACCUAACCAGAAAGCCACGGCUAACUACGUGCCAGCAGCCGCCGUAA